rnacentral:rRNA from 1 species
AGGUGCGAUCAUACCAACACUAAUGCACCGGAUCCCAUCACAACUCCACAUCUAAGCGUGCUUGGACGAAAGUAUUACUACGAUGGGUGACCUCCUGGAAAGCCCUCGUGUUGCACUUC